rnacentral:misc_RNA from 1 species
AAGUCGUAACAAGGUUUCCGUAGGUGAACCUGCGGAAGGAUCAUUACAGAUUGUUAUUGCAAUCCCUCCCUUAUUCUCUCCCCUUUGUGCACCUUAUCGCAUAGGCUGGUAGUAGUUGCAGUGGCCCAGAAAUGAGCUAUGCACUGCGAAUGCCUGUGUGAUUUCACUUCUAAUACUAUACAUCAUCUGCAUGGCAUUGUUGUGUAAUAUGAGUAUAAUGAAAUAUACAACUUUCAGCAAUGGAUCUCUUGGCUCUC